UUGUAUGGAAAAUUCCAAUUAAAUUCUUUAUGAAAUCUAUAAAUAAAUAUCUUUCAGAAGAUUUAGUUUAAUUAAUAAUUUAUAAUUAUUGAGAUUUAAUUAAAAAUUCUAGCUAAUUUUGUGCCAGCAGCAGCGGUUAUACAAAAAGAAAAUUUUUCUUCUUUAAGAUUUAAAUUUUUUAUUUAUUUAUUUUAAAUAAAGUAAGGUGAAAUUUCUUUUUUUAAUUUUAAAAAAUAUUAAAAUUUUAAUUCUUAUUUAAACUAGGAUUAGAUACCCUAUUAUUAAGAGCUAUAUAUUGUUAGUAAAUAUAAAUUACGAAAACAUAAAGUUAUGGCGGUAUUUCAAGCUUAUCAGAGGAAUUUGCUCUGUAAAGGAUAAAACGCCUAAAUCUUACUAAAAUUUGUAAAGUCAGUUUGUAUACCACUAUGAAAGUAAUAUUUUACUAUUAUUACUUCAAUAUUUUAAUUAGGUAAUAAAUUAAGUCAAGGUGCAGCAAAAAUUUUAGAUUGAAGUGAAUUACAUUUCUUUUUAGAGAUUUGAUUUGAAAGUAAAAUUUUAGGAUUUGAAAGUAAAAUUUUAAUAAAAUGAAAAUUUGAAUUAAGCUCUGAAAUAUGUACAUAUCGCCCGUCGCUCUUUUCUGAAGAUAAGUCGUAACAAAGUUAAAAUACUGGAAAGUGUUUU
rnacentral:ncRNA from 1 species